rnacentral:rRNA from 1 species
CCUACGGGGUGCAGCAGUAGGGAAUCUUUCACAAUGGGCGAAAGCCUGAUGGAGCAACGCCGCGUGCAGGAUGAAGGCCUUCGGGUUGUAAACUGCUUUUAUAAGCGAGAAAUAUGAUGGUAACUUAUGAAUAAGGAUCGGCUAACUACGUGCCAGCAGCCGCGGUCAUACGUAGGAUCCGAGCAUUAUCAGGAGUGACUGGGUGUAAAGAGUUGCGUAGGUGGCAUAAUAAGUAGCUAGUGAAAUCUGGUGGCUCAACCAUUCAGACUAUUAGCUAAACUGUUAAGCUCGAGACCGUUAGGGGUAACUGGAAUGUCUAGUGUAGGAGUGAAAUCCGUAGAUAUUAGAAGGAACACCAAUAGCGUAGGCAGGUUGCUGGGACGGUUCUGACACUAAGGCACGAAAGCGUAGGGAGCAAACGGGAUUAGAUACCCGAGUAGUC